GCAUUUUCCUCAUGGAUUUACACUUUUCUCAUCCCCAAACCUGGCAGAACCAGGAGGUUUAGGCACAACCCGCGGACCCCUCCCAGAGGACUAAGGGACCUGCAUGGAGCAGGCCUGGGGACACUGUCCACUCGCACCCCACCCCGGCCUGCGAAGCCCACCGAGUAAGGUGCGGUUGCUGGUGGCGGGCCCACUGGGCCUCUCAGAGCCCGAGCCGUCGCCACUCACGUUUGCGGUGGGCGGCGGGCACGAUGGCGGGCAGCGGAGCAGACACUGCAUUACCGCACAGACACCUACUCUGCGACUUUGCUUUGGAAGCAGAAGGGAGAAGAGCGCCAGACCCGCGCCAGCCAAAUCUGCCGGCCUUCUGGUGGCCACGCCUCCCUCUCUGCGCGCGCCGCCCCCCUGUCUGCGGACGUCACAAUACAGGAGUUUCUCCCUCCUCCGGGUUGGCUGUGGCCCCAGCGCCCCAACUCUUCCCCCGACACCUCUCGAGGGCACAGGGAGACGUUGCAUCCCGCUGGGCGUCGCGGCGGACCAAAGUGACAGCGCUCUCCAUCCCAGCCUGGCAGCUGCUGCCUGAAGCCUGGCUCCGUCUUCGGCUCACCAGGCUCUGCAGUGAGAGGAGCGCUCCCAAGGCCAGUGCCAGGUGCUCCUCUUGUGGGAGUCCUGAGCGCUGGACUGGGAAGGAGGGUGGGGCUGGUGCUGUGUUCGCCUUUUGGUCCACACCAGGGUGCAGAUUUGGGGUCCGCUCUCUGUCUCUUUAAACAGUUGGAAUGGAGAACACUGAUUUCUGCCCGAAAGUCUCCAGUUGGCGGUGUGUUGGCACUGAUUUCAGCACCGGGCUUGGUAAACCCUCUGUUGCCCAAGUGGCUCGAACGUUUAAAAUUUAUUCUGCAGAUCAUUGCCGAUCUAAUACGUGGUACAGUGCCAGAGUGGACAGGAGACAGAAACGCAGCCCGAAUGCCCGACCUUGAGAAUGUAGGACUCAGUGCAGGCACCUAAAGGAGUUGAUCUUGGGGGAGAUCUGUGUCAGAUGGGGAGGGGCUGGGGAGCAGAAAUCGCUGUUUUCAUUCAGGGUGCAUAGGGAUCUGGGGACUCCUGCUGAGAUGUUUGGGGUCUUAUUCGUAGUUGUUUUUUUUUUUUUUUUUUUUUUAAUCAUUGUUUGGAUUUAAAUGGUGAGAAUUUUAAGGACUCAAAAAUGUUACAUUGAUUUAUGGAAAGUGAUCAUGGUAGGACUCAUUUGCUAGCCUCUCCUAUACAUUUAUGUUAGCAUUUUUAGUAAUUUCGUUGUGAUAUUAAUAGAGAAAACUAUUUUUAGUUCUUACUAUGAACACCUCUCUAUUGUGAAUUUUCCUGUAGUGUAAUAUCCGUAUUUCCAGGGACAAACAUUCAUUCCAUCAGUUUACUUCAGUAAGUGGUGGGGGGGUCAGCUCAAGUUCAGAAGUCUUAGCUGCCUACCUGUGCUUCCCACACCAAAUGUUCCAGUUCCCAUAUGAUUCAGUGAAGUCCCACAUCUCCUAGACGCCUUUUUUUAGUUUUUAUUUUUGGUUUUACUGUUUGAAUUAAAUGUUCUUUCUCUUCCCAGGUAAGGGAAUGAAAUACAUAUAUACACAUAUAUAUACGUACAUAUGUGUGUGCAUAUAUAAUAAUUGAAAAAUAUUUCAGAUCAUACGAUAGUACAGAAGGAUAGCAAUAUGGCCUGUUUAAAACUUAAUAACAAGAGGAGUGGAUAAAUAGUUAGCAGCUAAGCGACUGGUUGGAAUGUCCAUGUUCCAUAUCAGAGUGCCAGAGUGUCUUUUUAUUGGCCAAAAUUAGGUCCAGGCUGCUCACCACUAGACAUGCAAUUCACCAGAAAUGGAGUCAGUGAAAGGCAACAGGUUCCUUUAAGGAGCUAGCACUCUUGGGAAAGAGCAUAUUUGGGAUCAAAGAGGUCUGCAUUUUCUCUAAGAAUGCUGGCUUCUUAAAUAAAGCUGUCUCCUUGCAUCAGUUCUCACUUCUGGUGAAUCGACUGCUCAGUGGGGAGCAGCCUGGGCCUAAUUUUGAAUGUAACAGAUGGUGAGCUAGCCAGGAAUGGGGUCUCGGUUCUCACAUGUUACUGGGAAAGGUGAGCACUGCUGUGUCCACCAGGCUGUUGUUGGUGAGCUGACCCAUGGCAGGGAUUCAGGGAGAUCCCAGAUGCUGCUGAGUCCAUUUUCCUGGAUGUCUUCCCUUCUGUCCUUGCUGUGACAUCAAUUGCCUGUUAUCACUUUCUUUUUUUUUUUUUUUUUUUGGUACAAGGAAAUGGUCCUUUUGGGAGUCCUGGGAUUCCAUGACUUGGAAGUUCAACUGGGUACACACUGGGAAUCCUCUUCCACUGCCAUUUGUUUGGACUUCCUGCCAGCGCAAGUUCCUUCUAAAAGCCCACUGAGCCCCAUUCCAGCUCAUUGGGGCAGCUUAUAAUUAUCCUUCUAUGACUGAGAACAAAAUUGGCAAUACUAUAUGGCCUUAUAUAUGCACCAGAUUCCAAAGAUUGAGGCCCAGGGAUUCCCCUUAUUGUCUUUUUCUUUUAAAGAAAAAAGAGAUUUUUAAAAAUUUAUGUGAGAGAGGGAGAGACAGAUAGAGAGAGGUCUUCCAUCCUCUGGUUCACUCACCAAAUGGCUUCAAUGGCCGGUGCUGAGCCAGUCUGAGGCAAGAGCCACAGCCAGGAUCUUCCUCUGGGUCUCCCAUAUGCGUGUGAGGGCCCAAUUACUGGACCUUAUUCUACUACUUAUCCAGGCCAUAGCAGAGAGCUGGAUCCAAAGAGGAGUAGCCGGGACAGGACCUGGCACCCAUAUGGGAUGCCGACACCACAGGUGGAAUCAGCCUAUUUUGCCACAGCACCAGUCCCUCCCUUGUUCUCAUAAAGUGAGUUUGAAGUUGCCACAGAAGUCUCUGAUGCAAUUUCUGAGGUAUCUCUGAACUGUCUUUAAUAGUGGCUUUACCAGUUUGGAGAUACCUCAGAAAUCUGAAUAUAGCCCUACCAGAUGACCCAGCCUUCCCACUCCUCGGACUUUACCCAAGGUAAAUUAAAUCGGUAAAUCAAAGAGCUGUCUGCACCUCCAUGUUUAUUGCAGCUCAAUUCACAAUAGCUAAGACAUGGAAUCAAUCUAAAUGCCCAUCAACGGAAGACUGGAUAAAGAAAUUAUGGGAUAUGUACCCCAUGGAAUACUACACAGUGGUAAAAAAAAUGAAAUCAAGUCAUUUGCAACUAAAUGGAGGAAUAUGGAAAACAUCAUGCUGAGUGAAAUAAGCCAGUCCCGAAGGGACAAGUAUCACAUGUUCUCCCUGAUCUGUGGCAACUACCUAACAGGAAACCUGGAAGCGAAACUGACACUAUGAAAAGCAAUGACUUGAUCAGCCCUUGUCCUGUCAGGGAACAGCUUACUAUUUUAUUCUUCUUAGUAUUUUCUUUUUAUACUUAAUACCAUUGGUUGAAAUCUUAACAAAAAAUUAUUCUUAGGUUUUUACUCCCAAUCGAAAAAUGAUCCUUGUAAAGAAAAUAAGAAUGGGAAUAAGUUCCACACAUGUUCCCACAAACUGAACCUAAGGGUAAAGCUAAAAACUUGCCCUGGGACUCCAAAUCCCAUUAAGUUGGCAGGUGCUAAUGCCAUUGUAGUAGUAAAAGUGAUCAUUAUAAUGGAAUGGGAGAGGGAGAAGGAGAUGGGAGGGUUGUGGGUAGGAGGGAAGUUAUGGGGGCGAGGGAAAGCCACUGUAAUCCAAAAGCUGUACUUUGGAAAUUUAUAUUUAUUAAAUAAAAGCUUUCUUAAAAAAAGAUGUCUCUGGUGCAAUUGACAGUGGAGAAUAAUAAUAAUCAUAAUUCUAAUUCCAUAGAAAGCAUCUCUCUUUAGAGUCUCAAUUAAAGGCUCUGAAAUUCAGGUCUUAUUUUUGUUGCAUGAGAAAAUAUUCAACUCCUUUCCUGGGAUUAUAAUUAUGACAUAACUGAUAAAAUUACCUUUUUUUCCCUGCUGGUUCUAGCUGAUAUUUAUGUGAUAGUUUUAAACUGCUUACCAUUUUUUUACUAAAAAUAGUAUUUAAUUAAAACAACUAAGAGCAAGAAAUAAUUCUAAUUGAUUAAUAUUAUAAAAGAAGAAAGGAAAAGUUUUUUUAAAGCUGGUCCAGGGGGAGCUGGCACUAUGGUAUAGUGGGUAAUAGCCACAUAUUUCAGAGCCUUUAAUUGAUGCUCUAAUAGAGAAACACAUUCUACAGUAUUAUUCUUAUGAUUGUUCUUAUUAUUCUCCACUGUCAGUUGCACCAGGGAUUUCUGUGGUAACUUCCAACUGGCUAUAUGAGAACAAGGGAGGGGCCAGUGCUGUGGCAUAGCAGGCUGAGCCUCUGCAUGAGGUGUCCGCAUCCCUUAUAGGCACAGGUUCUUGUCCCUGCUGCUCCUUGUCCAAUCCAGCUCUCUGCUAUGGCCUGCGAAAGCAGUGGAAGAUGGUGCAGGUGCUUGGGCCCAUGCACCUGUGUGGGAGACCUGGAAGAAGCUCCUGGCUCCUGGCUUAGAAUUGGCCCAGCUCUGAGCAUUGAAGCCGCUUUGGGAGUGAACCAACAGAUGGAAAACUUCUUUCUUCAUCCACCUCUCUGUAACUCUGCAUUUCAAAUAAUUGAAAAAACUGUUACAGAACCGCUUGUUUUUUUUUUCUUGUGAUGCAUGUUAUAUAUGUGUUAAUAAGCUAUAUGCUUUUUAGAUUAUGGGACUUCUAUAAAUCCUUGAUAAAUAGCUAAAAUUUGUUGGUAAAAUAAAGAUGUCUUUAUGUUUGUUAACAUAUGUUUGUGCCUGGGUUUACUGGCCAAUCUGGAUCAUAGUUAUAUAUGUUAGAUAGUUAAGAUCAUGAAAAUAGAAAUCUAACCUAAGCUCAUGUCAGAGUACCAUAGUGUUCUGUGUUUCAGGAAAACAGUUUAACUUUACCAUGCUUGCCUGAUAUUUCAGUUUUCAUAGCUAAUGUAACUAUACUUGUUAAAUAUAAAUUAGAUGAAUAUAAAUGUGAUAAAUAUUUUGACAUCAAUUUAAUACUCUUGGUUUCUUAAAUUCUAUAAAAACAGCAUAUUUGGGUCUCUUAACAAGUAUGCUUGUAUAAUUUGUUGAUAUACAGAAUAUAAAGAAAUCAUCUGUAGCCCUUGUUUACAGCAGCUAUUUCACAAUAGCCGAGAUAUGGAUAUGCAAACUUUUGAAAUCUGUACUUAACAAAGAGUUGGUCCUCUGUAUAUGAAAUUAAACUAAAAAUGAACCAUAAUUCAGAAGGGGUGGGAGAGGGAGUAGAAAGUGGGAUGGGAAUGGGGUUGGGAGUGUGGGUAUAGAAGAAAGAACCACUGUAUUCCUAAAGUUGUACCUAUGAAAAAUGCAUUCAUUAAAUAAAAGCAUUAAAAAACUGUAUAUAUUAAAUACUUGAAAUUGAUUUCCUUUAUUUACAUUUUUUAAAUUUAAUUAAAAAUUAUUCCUACAUAACAAACAAUUCAAGUCUAUUUCAGAAUAACUAAGGGCAAAAAUUCUAUAUGUAAAGAUAAUCAGGGAAAAGCAAUGCAAAAACAAAUAACAAAUAAAUUUAAACUGAAAAAGUAAAAUGUAUAAAAAAGUAUAAAAGGUUAUAUGCACUUUUGUUAAAAAUGUUUUAUUCUUAGAGAUUUUUAAAGAACUGUUUCAAAUUUAUAUGUGAAAAUAUAAAAUAUAUGUAUAAAUAAAAACUAGGAAGGUACUUUUAAAAUAUUUAAAAAUAAGAGCAUAACACACGUUUUUGAUAAAGCUAUGGGAUACAAGGAAUAUGUUUUGAUUAAUAUACUACAAGUAAGUAACAAUACAUUAAAAGUUUGUAAAAAAAAUCUAUUGUGAGAUUGGGUUGACUGAGAUUAAAUGAAUAUUACUUAUAUGUUUCUAAACCUUAAGCUGUUGUCAAAAGUACACUGAUAUAAUGUUUAAAUUUGGUCCCCUGUCUUAAAGCAACAAGGUUUUCUUAAAAUAGUGUUAGUAAUGGGGUUGACAUUGUGGCAUAGUGGGUAAAGCCACUGCCUGCAAUGUUGGCAUCCCAUAUGGAUACCAGUUCAAGUCUGCUUCACUUCUGAUCCAGCUUUCUGCUAAUUACCUGGGAAAGCAGUGGGUCUGCUUGGGUCUGCCACCAGUGUGGGACACCUGAAGCUUUGGUUCCUGGCUUCAGCCUGGCUUGAUCCUAGCCAUUGUGGCCACCUGGGGAAUGAACCGUCUGCUGAUGGAAGAUCUCUCUGUCUAUCUCUCCAUCUAUCUGUAAGUCUGCCUUUCAAAUAAGUAAAUAAAUCUUUAAAACAAAUUGCUGUUAGUAAAUUUUUUAUAAAGUGUUGAUCUUAAAAUUUUUUUUAAAGAUUUAUUUAUUUAUUUGAAAGUUAGUGUUACACAGAGAGAGAAGGAGAGGCAGAGAGAGAGAGAGGUCUUCCAUCCGCUGGCCCACUCCUCUACUGGCUGCAAUGACCAUAGCUGUAUCAAUCCGAAGCCAGGAGCCAGGAGCUCUUCUUGAUCUCCCACAUGGGUGCAGGGGUCCAAGAACCUGGGCCAUCUUCCACUGCCUUCCCAGGCCACAGCAGAGAGCUUGGUCAGAAGUAGAGCAGCUGGGAGUUGAAUCUGUGCCCAUAUGGGAUGCUGGCACCACUAGCGGUGGCUUUACUUGCUAUGCCACAAUGCUGGCUCCUCUUUAAAAUAUUUGUUAAUACAUUUUUGACCAUUUUCUGAACUACAGCUUCUGCUUUGUUAGUUUCCAUUUCAUUGAUAACUCUUCCCUCAAUUUUUAAAGAUUUAUUUAUUUAUUUGAAAGGCAGAGUUACAGAAAAAGAAACAGAGGGAGACACACAGAGAAGUCUUCCAUCUGCUGGCUCACUCCCCAAAUAGCUGCUAAGGACAGAACUGCUCCUGUACAAUACUAGGAGCCAGGAGCUUCAUCCUGGUCUCGCACAUUGGUGCGAGGGCCCAAGCACUUGGGCCAUUUUCUGCUGCUAUCCCAGAUGCAUUAAUAAGGAGAUGGAUCAGAAGUUUAGCAGCUGGGACUGGAACCUGCACCCUUAUGGGAUUCUGGAGUCAUAGGCGGUGGCUUUAUCUUCUAUGCCACAAAACUGGCCCCAACUUUAUUUUAUUUUUAUAGGAAUUUCUUUAUUUGAAAAGUAAAGUGAUAGAGGGAGGGAGAGGGAUAACAAGACAGAUCUUCCAUCUGCUUUUUGAUUCCCCAAAUGGCCUUAACAACCAAGUGUGGGCCAGCCUGAAAGUAGGAGCCAGAAAUUUCAGCUAGGUCUCCCAUGUGGGUAGCAGUGGCCCAACUACUUGGGCAAUCUUCUGCCUUCCCAAGCACAUAGCAGAGUGCUGGACUAGAAGAGGAGCAGCCAGGUCUGGAACCAGCAGUCUAAUAUUAGUCUAGUAAGUCCUAGUAAGUCUCCACAACUCUAGCCUCUCUCCCUUAACUUUCUAGGCAGCUCUUGUAAGCAGUUUUCUCCUCCUGGUUCUGAGGCUGACAGGACACUAAAAAUGCUCCUCUUAAAAGCCUCAGGGCCGGCGUCGCAGCUCACUAGGCUAAUCCUCCGCCUAGCAGCGCCAGCACACCGGGUUCUAGUCCCGGUCGGGGCGCCGGAUUCUGUCCCGGUUGCCCCUCUUCCAGGCCAGCUCUCUGCUGUGGCCCGGGAAGGCAGUGGAGGAUGGCCCAAGUGCUUGGGCCCUGCACCCCGUGGGAGACCAGGAUAAGUACCUGGCUCCUGCCAUUGGAUCAGUGCAGUGCGCCGGCCGCGGCGGCCAUUGGAGGGUGAACCAACAGCAAAGGAAGACCUUUCUCUCUGUCUCUCUCUCUCACUGUCCACUCUGCCUGUCCAAAAAAAAAAAAAAAAGCCUCAGAUAGGGGCCCAUGCUGUGAUACAGGGGGUUAAGCUGAGGCUUGCUACAGGAAGCUACAUUAGCUUCCUGCUGGUGCAUGUGAGUUUCAAGAGUUAAGAUUAUUGGUAUCUGUUUUUAAAAAUAGGUAUGCUUCAAAUUAAUUCCUUUGACAAUGAGAUUUCCAGCUGGAAUCCCAGAGCUCCUCCAACAAUGUAGCUGUCACCUAGUAGAGUUGAUUGCUAAUUAGAUAAUUAGAUUAUAUGUAAGGAGUAUUGCCCUCUUGUAAACUCAGGUUAAAUAUAACAAAUUUAUACAGCUGUGUCAUGGAUAUAAAUAUCCUACAGGUUUUACAACACUUAUAAAUGUCUGCUGGUUCUGGUGUGAUGUCAUCAGUCAUGACUUAUCUUAGUAAUAUAAAAGACCUUGUGACUGUAAAAGAUCUUUGGAGUUGCCAUUCCCUUCAAAAAUCCAGAGGCUUCAUACAUUCACUCAGACUUACCCCUAGUGGGAGAGCUGGAAACGUGCCCUGGAACUGCAAAUCCCAUUAAGUUGGCAGGUACCAAUGCCACCUUACUGGUUAAAGUGAUCAUCUUAAGUUCAUAAUUGAUCAUAAAGAUAGGAUUAAGUGUCAAAGAGAUCACAUAAACAAGACCUAAUCAUAAUUGAUAGAAUUAAAAAGGAGAGAACAACCCAACAUGGGAAACAGAAUACACAGCAUACUCAUAGAAUGGCAGAUGCCCUAAACAGCAUUCUGGCUUCAAAAUCAGCCCUUAAGACUCUCAGAUCUGGCUAAAAAGCCCCUGAGAGUUUCUCAGAUGUGGAAAGCCAAGACACUGUUGCAAAAAAUGUCCUAAAUUGAAGAACUCUGUGAAUGAGAUCCCACUGAAAACACGGGCCAUCAAAGAAGGAGGUUCUUUUCUCUGAAGGGAGGAGAGAACUUCCACUUUGAUUAUGGCCUUGACUAAAUAAGGUUAGAGUUUGUGAUCUCAAGAGGCUUUCAUAGCCUUGGCAGCUUAUGACAAGAGCCAUGGGUCAUUACUGACGUCAUAAAUAAGAAUGUCAAUUGUUAAAUCAACAACAGGAAUCACUGUGCACUUACUCCCCAUGUAGGAUCUCUGUCUUCAAUGUGUUGUACUAUGCGAAAUAAUGGUAAAGCAGUAUGCAAACAGUAUUUAUACUUUGUGUGUCUGUGUGGGUGCAAUCUGUUGAAAUCUUUACUUAGUAUAUACUCACUUGAUCUUCUGUAUAUAAAGAUAAUUAAAAAUGAAAAAAACUCCAAAGACCUCAAAAAUUAAGUAUUUUUGAAAACACUACGGUGCUUUUAAAAUACUAAAUACAAUAGAUAUAUGAAUACAUAAAAUGGAAAAUUAAAAAUCUUCUAAAUCUGACAUUUAAAAAUCUAAAUCAACUUUUUUAUUGUAAUUUUACAGAUCACAGUAGUAUGCCUACAAUUACAUUAUUUGUUGUGUUUAAGAUACAACUUGAUUUGUUUUACCAUUGUUAGUUUUUUGUGUAUUUUUCCUUCUAAACUUUUUUCUUUCAGCUGUCAAUUCUACAAUUAUUCUACAAAAUAAUAAUUUCCAGCCAGAUUAUGUUGGCCAAAAAAACAUAAAAGUGUUUGUAAAACAGUCUGUCCUUGUCGAAAUACUACAUACAGGAAAUAUAACUAAUCAUCUCAUAAACCAAUCAACUAUUACUGAAGUUUUAUUCAUGGUGAUUUUAAGUCUUUUGUCAUCCACAGUUCUGGUUCUUCUCUAAAAACAUUUAUAACCAAAAAGAAUCUAACAAAUGCAGGUUUCUGACAGACUGAACUAAUUAAAUAAUUCAAAAAUUCUGAUUAAAAAUUUGACAGAUUCAUAAACCUGCUACCGUAAUCACACAAGAUAAAAGGAUAAGUUCAUAGAGACUGAAUGGAUCAAGUAGUAGCUUUCUGUGUCUUAAUUAAAACAUUGUUGGUUCUCUGCUUAGGUGUUUUGUCUGAAGGCUUAAAGAUUUUUCUGCAACUGCUGGAGUUUAUAAUAAUUUGGUGGACUAUGUUUUAUAAACAAAAAUUUAUAAACAUACAUUUACCUUUCCUUCCUACUAAGUUCCUCCAAAUUCAAAAAUUACUUAAUGAGAAUGAUUUUCAUGACAAUGUAAUUAUUAUCAAAAAUUCAUUAAAAUGUGUUCUCAUAGUAAAAUACAACUUAAACACUGAUAAAUCUAAAAAUAAACAAAAAUGUCAUGGACCCAGCAUUUCAGUGAGUAAAUAAAAUGACCCCUUAGUAAUAGAUCAUGGGGCUGGGGUAGUGGUGUAAUAAGUAAAGCUGCUGUCUGUGGUGCUGUUUUGAUUCCAGCUGCACCAGUUCUGAUCCACCUCCCCAGUAACAUGCCUGGGAAAGCAGUGGAGGAUGGCCCAAGUGUUUGGUCUCUUGAACCCAUGUGGAAGAACCAGAAGAAGCUACAGCUCCUGGCUUCCACCCAGGACAGUUCUGACCAUUGCGGCCAUAUGGGAAGUGAAAGAGUGGUUGGAAGAUUCUCUCCCUCUCCCUUCUCUCUCUCUCUCUUUCCCUUCCUUCUUGCAUCCCUCCCUCUCCCUCUAUCUGUCCCCCCCUUCUGUCUCUACCAUUCAAGUAAAUAAAUAAUUCUUAUUAAAAAUAGAAAAUAGAUCUUAAAACUUAAAUGAUUAGUUAGUAUAACAUACAAAAUAAGACUUCCUUGGUUAGGCUUCCUACCUUAAAACACUUUCUAAAUCGUGUUUUAAAUUUGAAGGAUCAACUGUUUAUUAUACUUGUACAAACUCAGUUAUAAAAUGCCUACAGUUAGAUGGGUUUUUGAGAGAUUUAUUUAUUUAUUUAUUUAUUUAUUUGAUUUAUAUAAUUGAAAGGCAAAAUCACAGAGAGGCAGAAGCAGAGAUUGGUGUGGGGGGGUCUUCCAUGCACUGGUUCACUCCCUAAAUGGCCACAAUGGCCAGACCUGGGCUGAUCUGAAGCCAGAAGCCUGGAGCUUCUUCUGGGUCUCCCAGGUGGGUGCAAGUGCCCAAGUAUUUGGGCCAUCCUCUACUGAUUUCCCAGGUCACAGCAGAGAGCUGGAUCAGAAUUACACGAGAAGGAGACUUGAACCAGUGCCCAUAUUGGAUGUGGGAAGUGCAGGCCACAGACACCUGCUUUACCACAGAACUGGUCUGUUUAUGGUUUUGAAGACACAAACUUGAUUUCUUGGUGGACUGUUGUGAUUUCUUUCUUUGGAACUUCAUGCCUGUCACCAGUCAGCAUUCUACAAAAAUCCUUUUCCCAGUAAAAUAAUCCUGGCCUGAUUCUGACAUGAUGAUGAUAAGUUCUUGCCUACAGAAAUUAUUAAAUUCAAUUUAGCAAUAUACUGCAAGUAAAUUUUGUCUAAAAACCCCUUCUUCUAAAAUCUCUGUGUUACUCAAAUAUGUAGCUAAAGGGUUUAUAAUACUGACUCUGGGUUGUCAACUUUUUCCACCCAAACAUGGACCAAAUCAGAACAAACAGCAAGAGAAAGUCUACCCAGAGCAGAAGAGCAAACAGAAUAUGAAAACAGCAUGACAGGUCAGCAGUGUUUUCAUUAAAAUAAAAAAAGAUGAAAAGGGGAAGAGCAUAUUAACAUCAAGAUAUUUUUAUUAAUGCCAACAUUAAACUAUAUUAGACCAAAAGGAUAUAUAAAAAUUGUCAUUAUACAUGAAUACAAAUAUCCAAUAGCAAAUUUGCCCAAAAAAUCUGCCAGGACUACAACCUCUACAGAUGGCUACCUCUUGCAGAGAUUAUCUUCAGAAGGUGAAGUUUUUGCAUUCCCAUGCUUUUAUGUCCUUCUGUCCACCUGUGUGCCUCUGUUGUCACCAGUGUUCUGGUAACCAACAGGCCCACUUGCUUGGCCUGCUGCCCACAAUCCAGUUAUGCUCAUGCUUGGCUCUGAGCCACUUUUGUCUGUAAACCCACAUAAGCAACUGGAGGGCACAGCCGGACAUGGCUAUUGGUGGACCAGCUGUAUGGGGGUGUGUGGCUAUGUGUGGACAUGUGCAGAUGUCUCUGUGUGAUUCUGAUGCUGCCAUGGACACAAUGUGGAUAUCUUCUGUGGCCCCAUUGCCAUCAGGGUCUAGUUUCUGCUGCUUACACACUUCUCCUCACCACUGUGAGUAAAGAAAGCUGGGCAGGACUCCCUGAGACCCAACAUCCAGAGGACAAGGGACCAACAGAUGAGGAAGAGGCAGAUGCUGCAGUUUCUGGAGCCCAAUCACAGCCAACAGGAUGUGGAGACACAGCUACGUAGACACCUCCAAAGGAAGUCAGAGAGAAGACAGCUCAGCCAUUGGCAACUUAGGACAAAAGAAUAUUCAGUCUGUGCCCUGUAAGAGAGGGGUUGUCACCCUCCAAGUAUCACCCAGUGUCAAAAGACCAUGAAGCAAUUGUUAUGGUUGAGUGGACAAUUCAGUGUUAUUGCAGGUUUCUGAGUCCUUCAGGGUUAUGUGGUUUAGGGGUGGUCAGGUUCCCAUUGUUGGGGCUGGAUACAAAGAAAUGAAUGUUUUUAACUUUGCACUCAGCCUUGCAGCCCUGACCCUGAUACAGCCAUAUGUUUUGAUUUGGUAAUAAGUGGUUGAAUGUAAUGGCCAAUGUUUGUAAUAAUAUAUGUGCUCCAUUCUGUAAACAUGGGAUAAUAACCUGUGAUUCCCUGGGGUGAUGGCGUAUAGACUACUGGACAUUGCCCUCAACAGAUGAAUACAACCUGAUGCCUAAAAAUACCGUGGUGGACUGCACAGCUUUGCAGUCAUGACCAACCAAUUGGCUUGUUCCAUGUGCAACAAGUUGCAUGCAGCUUUACAACUCAGCUACUUUGGAAGGUGGCCAAAGCCAUUGACCACACUGUACUUGCUUAUGAAAGUACACUUUGACUCAUCUAGAGACAUUAGCCCAGGAGCAGAAUAAUGACUUUCAAUGAUGGUUGCGGGUGUUCUAUGUUAUGUCUUAUACUUUUGCAUUGUAACUUGCACUAUUGUUACGGCCUUUGGAUUAAAUGUUCCAGUUCCCAUUGUACUCCUUGCCUUGUAUUUGGAUCUAUCUGGAGGCAAACACAGAUUGUACGGUGAGGAUACUUGAAGUGGCAGAGAGUUGAGAAGUUGAACUUGAGAAGAUGAAGGUACCAAGUUCCCACACCCUCAUGCCCUCCUUUCCUUCUUAUCUAUGUGCCUCUUGGACCAAUAAUGUCCUGGUAACCAAGAGGCCACCUGAUUGGCCUGCUGCCCAGAACUCUGUUAUGUAAUUACCUGGCUCUGAGCCACUGAGCCACUAUGGUCUGUAAAUACACUUAGCAACCGGGGGUGUGGUUAGGCAUACAACUGUUGUAUGUGGCCAUAUGUGGAUGUUUGGCUAUGUGUGGAUGUAUGCAUGUGUGUGUAUGACUGCCACCACAAACACAAAUGUGGAUAAUGUGCUAUGACCAGAGUGUCAUUGUGUCUAGUGUCUGUUCUUUGUGUAUUUCUCUGAGCCACUGUGAGUUCAAGCAGUGGGCCAGGACCCCCCUGAGAACCAAGAUGAAGAGCCCAGGAGACACAUUUGAAGCAGAGGGAGAUGGUAUAGUUACGGAGCCCAAGUACAGCCCAAAGGACAUGGAGAGAUCUCAACACAUACAUAUCUCAAAGAGGACAAAGAGAAGACAGCACAGCCUGUGGCAGCUGGGGACAAAAGGAAAUGCCAUCCACAACUGGAAGGAAGGAGUCAUCAGACUCUAGGAUAACCCAGUGCCAAAAGACUGUCCAACAAGUGUAAUAAUUGAGUCUUCUGGUGGUGAGGACAAUUUGAAGUCUUCAUGUUAUUCUGAUUCCAACCAAUUUUGGGAUUUAGAGGUGGGCGGGGUCCUAUAAACCCAAAAAUGAAUGUUUGUAACUGUGCACUCAGCCUUGUGGCCCUAACCUGACACCACCUAUGUUUUGAUUUGUUAAUACGUGGUUUAAUGUAAUGGCCAAUGUUUGUAACAAUAUAUGUGCUCCAUUCUGUAAACUAUGGGAUGUGAAAUUGUGAUUCACCAUGGAAGAUGGCACAUAGACUUCUGGAUUUUUACCCCCCCCCCCCCACACCAUCAGAUAGAUAGAACCUGAUUGCUACAAAUACCCUGGAGGACUGAACAGCUUUGCAACAGUGACCAGCAGAUUGGUUUGUUGGAUGUGCAGUCAUUUGCCUGCCAGCUCUGAAGCUCAUCUACCUCAGAAGGUAACCACAGUCACUGACAACACUGGACUUGGUUAGGAAACUACACUUGGACUCAUUUAGAGACUUUAGCCCAGGAGCAAUAUAAUGGAACCCAGUGAGGGUUGGGGAUAUUCCAUGUUAUGUCUUAUACCUUCUUGUUGUAAUUUGUGUUUUUGAUAUGACCUUUGGAUAUAAUGUUCCACACCCCAUGUGUACUCCUUCCCUUUCACGCAGAUCUCUCCAAUAGAGGAGGCACCUCUAUAUUGUACAACCACAAUACUUGAAGUGGCAGGGUGUGGAGAAGAUGAACUUGGAAAGAAAAAGAUAUCAAGUUCCAACACCUUAUGCCCUUGUGCCCUUUCUGUGGUCCUUAAUGGCAAUCCAUGUCUUGAUAAACCACAGGCCCACCUAUUGGCUAACUGCCCACAGGCCUGUUAGGUAAGGGCUUGGCCGCAGUUCACUAUUUUCUGUUAACCCCCAUAAGCAGGCAGGGGUAGGUGAAGCUAUUAUCAAACUCUAAGUUAGAAUUUCCCACAGAAGCCCCUGCUAGAGUUGACAGUGGGGAACAAUCAUAAUCCUUAUGCCAUGGAAAGCAUCUCUCCAUUAGAGUGUCAAUUAAAGGCUCUGAAAUUCAGAUGUAGUUUUCAUUGCAUGGAAAAUGUUCAACUGCUUUUUUAGGAUUAGAGUUGUUUUGCCACAUAAAUGUUCAAGUUACCUUUUUUCCCCUGCAGGUUCCCUCUGAGUGUUGAUAAAUGAUAGUUUAAAAUUGCUUUUUUCUGCUUUUCACUAAAAACAAGUGUUUAAGAGUAGUAAUAAAGAGCAAGAAAGAAUUUAUCCAAUUAAUAUUAGUAAAAGAAGAAAGCAAAAAUUUUUUAAAAGCUGUUAUAGAACUUCUUGAUUUUUCUCUUGUGAUAUGCAAUACAUGUAAAUAUGUUAUAUUAUCCAUGUUGUGUGUUGUGUCCACAUAGUAAAUUCCCUUAACAGCUAUAUUUUUAUUGACUUAAAGAUAUUAUGCACUCACAUAAAUUAAAACUUUUAAAUUAAGACUUAUGCCAUUAAGUAAUGGGACUUAUACAUCUCUGAUAAAUAGCUAAAAUUUGUUGGUAAAACAAAAUGUCUUUAAGUUUGCCAACUUACGUUUAUGCCUGGGUUUACUGGCCAGGCAGGAUCACAUGUAUGUCUGUUGAUGUCUAAGUCCAUAAAAGCAUAAAUCUAAGAUCAUGUCAAAAUAUAAUAGUGUUCUGUGUUUCAAGGAUAAUAAUUUGAAUUGACUAUUCUGCCUGGUAUGUCAGUUUUUAUAACUACUGUAAAUAUACCUGUUAAAAUAAAUUGGAUAAAUAUAAAGGAGAAAUAGUUCUAAAUAUAACUUAAUGACUGUUGGCUUCUUCAGUUUUAUAAACACAGUAUAUUUGGGUCUGUUAACAAAUAUGCUUUUAUACAUUGUUGAUAAACAGCAUAUAAUAGAGUUAUCAGUAUCUUUCUUUGUAUCAGCUCAAUUCACAGUAGCUAAGAUAUGGAAUAAACCCAGAUAUCCAUCAACUGAUGACUAGAUAGAGAAAUUGUGUUAUAUAAUUGUGUUAUGUAUACCACAGCCCUAAAAAAGAAUGAAAUCCUGUCUUUCACAUCAGAAUGUAUCCAAUUGGAGACAAUUAUCGUUAAUACUAUCAGCCAGUACCAAAAGACAAUCACAUGUUUUCUCUGAUUGGUGGUAACUAAUAUAUCAAGUACAAAUAUAUCAAGUAACGUAUAUGAGUUAAAUUCACAUAUUGAGAUUUGAUUAUGUUCAUAGCCCUUAAGUAUACUCCUGAGGAACAGUGGUUUUUCUACUUACUAUUUGUUGAAUUCUAUUUAAUGGAGGGUUAAGCUUGUGAUUACAAAGUAAAUUGAAAGUAUGUCAUUGCACUCAUAGAAUGGCAGAUGUCCUAAACAGCACUCUGGCCUCAGAAUCAGCCCUAAAGCCAUUCCGAUCUGGCUGAAAAGCCCAUGAGAGUAUUUCAGGUAUGGAAAGCCAAGACACUCUGGAAAAAAAAAAAAAAAAAAACCUAAAUGAAAGAUCUCUGUGAGUGAGAUCCCAGUGGAAAGAACAGGUCUUCAAAGAAGGAGGUACCUUUCUCUGAAGGGAGGAGAGAACCUCCACUUUGACUAUGACCUUGUCUAAACAAGAUAGUCGGAGAACUCAGAGGGCUUCCAUAGCCUUGGAAACUCAUGACUGGAGCAUAGGGAGAUUACUGAUGCCAUAGACAGGAGUGUCAAUUGGUAAAGUCAACAACAGGAGUCACUGUGCACUUACUCCUCAUGUAGGAUCUCUGUCCUUAAUGUGCUGUACAUUGAAUUUUAAUGCUAUAAUGAGUACUCAAACAGUAUAUUUCACUUUGUGUUUUUAUGGGGGUGCAAACGGUUGAAAUCUUUACUUAAUGUACACUAAACUGAUCUUCUGUAAAAAAAAAAAAAAAAGAAAUUAUCAAUUCCCAACUUGACUCUCACUGCGAUUAAGCAUGACAAUAGGUCUGAUCUGAUUUCAUCAUCAUUUACAAAAUCAUCUAUUAUUUUUCACUUUAUGUUUCUGUGUGGGAGCAAACUGUUGAAAUCUUUACUUAAUGUAUACUAAGCUGAUCUUCUGUAUAUUAAGAUAAUCAAAAAUGAAUCUUGAUGUGAAUGGAAGGGGAGAGGGAGUGGGAAAGGGGAGGGUUGCGGGUGGGAGGGACGUUAUGGGGGGGAAGCCAUUGUAAUCCAUAAGCCGUACUUUGGAAAUUUAUAUUCAUUAAAUAAAAGUUAAAAAAAAAAGAAAGUAUGUCAUUGCAAACAUCAAAAGAAAAAUGAGAGAAAGAAGGAGGGAGUGUGGGACCAAGGGAAAGAGGGUAGGAGGGUAGGGUAGGAAGUAUCAAUAUGUUUUUAAAACUGCAUGUAUGAAGUACAUGAAAUUAGUUCUCUUCAUAUAAAUUUUAAAAGUUUAAAAAAUGUUGAUAUAUCACAAACCAUUCACGACUACUUCAAAUAACUAUGGGUAACAAUUCUAUAUGUAAAACCAAAUUAAAUAGGGAAAAGAAAAAUCUAAAUAAAAAAUACUUCAAAUUUAAUAUCAAAAAGGAAAAAUAUUUUUCAAAUGAAAAAUCUAUAUGUAAUUUUCUUAAGGAAAUGUUUUGCUCUUAGAGAUUUUAAAGGAUUUUUUCAUAUUGAAGGGUAAAAUCAUAACAAAAUAUAAAUAUAUAAAUGUAUUGCUGGCAUGAUGGCAAGGUGGGUAAAGCCGCUGCCUGCAGUGCAGGCAUCCUUUAUGGGCACCGGUUUGAGUCCUGGCUGCUCCACUUCCAAUGCAACUCUCUGCUAUGGCCUGGGAAAGCAGUAGAAGAUGGCCCAAGUCCCUGGGCCACUGCAACCACAUGGGAGACCUAGAAGAAGCUCCUGGCCCCUGGCUUUGGAUGGGUUCAACUCCAGCCAUUGCAGCAAGUUGGGUAGUGAGCCAGUGGAUAGAACACCUCUCCCUCUCUCUCUCUCUGCCUCUCCUUCUCCAGCUGUGUAAAACUUUCAAGUAAAUAAAUAAAUCAUAAAAAGUAUAAAUAAAUAAAUAUAUUUAUAUACAAAUGUAUAACUAAAAAGCAGGUAUGAAAAAUUUUUAAACUAAACAAAAUGUGUUUACUAAGUAAAGCUAUGGAACAUAAUGGAUAUGUUUUGAUUAGUAAUAAUAGUUAUCUUACAAGUAAUUAAAAAUAUGUUAAAAGUUGUAGGAACAAGAAAUCUUUUGUUAGAUUAGGUUGACUGAGAUUAAAAGAAAAUUCUUUAUAUGUUUCUAAAACAUAAGGUUUACUAUCAAAAGUACAUGUACAUAAACUAAAAUUUGUUCCCUUGUGUUAAAUCAGCAAAGUUUUCUUAAAAUAUCGACCUUUAAGUGUAUUUUAAAAAGUCUAGAUCUUUAAUUUUAAAAUAUUCACUAACACAUUAUCAUCCAUUUUGUAGAACAUAGCUUCUCCUCUGGUAGUUUCCAGUUUACUGUGGACUCUUUCCUUCAACUUCUUUUAUUAUUAUUAUUAUUAUUAUUAUUAUUAUUAUUAUUAUUUGAGAGGCAGAGUUACAGACAGAAAGGGAGAGAGAUCUUCCAUCUGCUGGUUUACUCCCCAAAUGGCUGCAAUGGCCAGAGCUCUGCCGAUCCAAAGUCAGCAGCCAGGAGCUGCUUCCAGGUCUCUCACGUGGGGUGCAGGGGCCCAAGGACUUGGGCCAUCUUCUACUGCUUUCCCAGGCUACAGCAGCGAGCUGGAUUGGAAGUGGAGCAGCCAGGACUAGAACCAGCACCCAUAUGGGAUGCCGGUUCUGCAGGCAGAUGAUUAACCUACUGCGUAACAGUGCCAGCUCCACAACUUCUUUUUUAUAAAAAAAAAAAAAAGUUAAUGUAUUUGAAAGAAAAAGAGACUGAGAAAGAAAGGAGACACAGAGAGAGAGACAGAGAGAGAGAGAGAGACAGAGAGAGGGAGAGAGGUUAGAGAGCGAAAGGAGAGAGAGAGCACAAGCUCUUAUAUCUGCUAUUUCAUUGCCCAGACGGCCUUAACAGCCAGAUGUGCUCCAAGUUAAAGGCAGGAACUUCAUCUGGAUCUCUCAUAUGGAUGGUGGGGCCCAAGUACUCUGGCCAUCCUCUGUUUCCUUCCCAAGAACAUAGCAAGAAGAUACAUUGAAAGCAGAGCAGCCAGGACUGGAACCAGCACUCUGAUAUUGGAUGCUGGCAUUCCAGGUGGCUUAACCUGCUGCUCCGUAAUUCCAGCCUCCUUCCCUAAGCUUUCUAGGUAGCAGCUAUAAGCAUUUUUCUCCUCCUCCCUGGUUCUGACUCUGUUAGACCAGACACUAAAAAUGCUUAUCUUAAAGCCUCAGGAAGGGACCUGUGCUGUGAUUCAGAGAGUUAAGCUGCAGCUUCCAAUCCUGCCAACACACCCAAAUCUCAAGAAUUAAGAUUAUUUGUAAUUAUUUUUAAAAAUAGCUAAGUUUCUCUUUUUUUAGGAAUUAUUUAUUUACUUGGAAGAGUUACAUAGAGAGAGAAGGAGAACUAAGAGAGAGAGGUCUUCCAUCCACUGGUUCACACUCCAGUUCACUUCAAGGGCCAGAGCUGUGCCAAUCCGAAGCCAGGAGCCAGGAACCAGGAGCUUCUUCUGGGUCUCCCACGUGGGUGCAGGGGCCCAAGGACUUGAGCCAUCUUCCACUGCUUUCCCAGGCCAUAGCAGAGAGCAGGAUCAGAAGUGGAGCAGUCGGGACUCGAACUGGCAUCUAUAAGGGAUGUUGGCACUGCAGGCAGAAGCUUUACCAGCUAUGCCACAGCAUGGGCCCCAUUAAGUGUCAAAUUAAGUCCUUUAACAUUGGGAUUUCCAGCUGGAAGCAUGGAGCUCACCAAACAAUGUAGCUAUUACCUUGUAGAGAUGAUUGCUAAUUAGAUAAUUAGAUUGCAUAUAAGGUGUAUUGCCUGGUUAUAAACUCAGGUUAACUUUAAUGUUACAUUUCUCUAGGUACAUCAUGGAGAUAAGUAUUCUACAGGUUGUUUAACACAUGUAAAUGUCUGCUGCACCUGAUGUGGUGUCAUCUGUCAUGACUGUUAUCUUAAUAAUGAAAAAGACCUGGGGACUGUAUAAGGUCUUUUCAGUUGCCCCUCCCUUCACAAAUCCAGAGGCCUCAAAAAUUAAAUAGUUUUUUGGGGCACCGGAUUCUGUUCCAGUUGCUCCUCUUGCAGUCCAGCUCUCUGCUGUGGCCCGGGAGUACAGUGGAGGAUGACCCAGGUCCUUGGGCCCUGCACCCGCAUGGGAGACCAGGAGGAAGCACCUGGCUCCUGGCUUCAGAUCGGUGCAGCAUUUGGGGGGUGAGCCAAAAGAAAGGAAGACCUUUUCUCUGUUUCUCUCUCUCACUGUCUAACUCUGCCUGUCAAAAAAAAAAAAAAUAGUUUUGCGAGAGGGAGGAGGAGAAGGAUUGGAACACGGGUGGGAGAGAGAGUAGGGGGAGAAGUGUCACGAUGUUCCUAAGUCUGUAUAUAUGAAAUAUAGAAAACUUGUAUAACUUAAAUAAAAUAGAGAAUAAUAAAAUAUUUAAAAACACAGGAUUAAAAAAUUAAAUGGUUUCUAAAACAUUACUGUGGUUUUUGAAAUACUAAGUAUAAUACCUUUAAAUGCAUAAAAGUGGAAAAUUUAAAAAUUUCUAAAUCUGAGUUUAGUCUGUAAUGAAUCAACUUUUCCUAUUGUACUUAUACAGACAGUGAAAAUAUGCCUAAAGUUACAUGGUUGUGUUAAGAUAUAACUUGAUUUGUUGUACUGUUGUCAGUUUGUUAUGUAUUUUUCUUUUUGAACUUUUUCCUUAUCACCUAUCAGAAUUCUGCAAAGGAAUAAUUUCCAACCAGAUUAUGCUGGCCCAAAAAAAAUCACAAAAGAGUUUGUACAUAAGUUAUGCCUAUAUCGAAAUACUAUACACAAUAAAUAUAACUAGGUCACUUUGUUAACCAAUCAACUGUUAUUCAAAUUUUAAUCAGGGUGAUUUUAAGGCUUUUGUCAUCCACAGUUCUGGUUCUUCUCUAAAAUCAUUUACAAUCCAAAAAUAAUCUAAUAAUUAUUUAUAAAUAGAGGUUUCCCAUAAUGUGAACUAACUAAAUAAUUUUUAAAAAUUCUGAUUAAGGAAAUCUGACUGAAUCAUAAAAUUGCUACUAGAGAUCACACAAGACAAAAGAAUAAGUUCAUAGUUACUCAAGCUGGUAUAGUUGAAGGUUUCUUUGUCUUCUACUUAACACAUUGCUGGUUCUCUACUUAAAUGUUUUUUUUUUUUCUCACAUCUUAAAGAUCUACUGCAAUAUCUAGACUUUAUAACACUCUGGUGGACUAUUUUUAUAAACAAAAGCCAAAACAUUUACCUUUCCUUCCUUCUAAAUUCCAUCAAACUUUAGAAACUGCUUAUGGGAAUUUUUGGUUUUCGUGACAAUGUAAUUAUUUUUAAAACUUUGUUAACAGAACCAGUUCAGCCCAUAACUGAAUAUAAUUUAAAUUAUUGAUAUGUCUAAAACUAUACACAAAACACUUGACUUGAAGGAUUCCCAGCCUUUCAGUAAUAUAAAUAAAAUGAUUCAGUAAAUAAAAUGAAUACUUAUUAGCUCUUAAACUUCAAAAGGUUUAGUACUGUAGCAUUAAAAAAAUCUCAGACAUCCUUGAUUAGGCUUCUAAGUUAAAACAUUGUAUAAAUCUGAGAUUAAAAUGAGAGAAAUCAACUUUCUUUAUGACCUUGGACAGUCAACUGUAAUAUGACUGCAGUUAGAUUGGUUAUGGGUUUUAGGUACAAACUUGAUCUGCUGUACUGUUGAUGAUUUGUUAUGUGUUCUUCCUUUGGACCUUCAUGCCCAUAGACUGUCUGCUUUGUUCAAGAGUUCAGUUCCCAGCCCGAGAAUGUUGGCCUGAUAUUUUGACAUGAUGGCUUUAUAUAUGGAACUGAUUAUGUUAAUUAUAGGAAUAGACUGAAAAUAAGUUCAAUUUCUGGACCCUGUUCAUAAACCUUUAGGCUCCUCAUAUAUGUGGCUUAAAAGGGUUUAUAAUAAUGGCUCUUGGUUGUCAACCAUGUUCUCCCCAACCUAGGACCAAUUCACAACAGUGACCAGGAACAGAUCCAUCCUGACCAAAGACACAAAAAGAACACACGGCUACAGAAUAAUAGAUCAGUAGUGUUUGUCUUUGUUUUGUUGUAUGUUUUUUGUUUUUGUAAAAAGCUCAAGAGAAAAACAAAAAACCAGAUAACAAACCAAAGGUUGUUUGAAAGUUAAGAGAGAAUCUCUGGUGCCAACUUUAAGAUAUACAAUUCCAAGAAGUUCUUUAAAAAGUGCUCUCUACAUGAAUGUCUGAUUAGUACCUAUGACAAAGGACUCUGCCAGGACUAGAGUGGGUACAUAGCCAUCUUUCAGAAGAUGAACUUGGGAAGGUGUAAUUUUCAUGCUUCCACACCAGAAUGUCCUUACCCCCUUUCUGUGUACCUCUUUGGCCUCCAAUGUCCUAGUAACCAACUGGCCCACCUGCUUGGUCUGCUGCACACAACACUGUUAUGUAAUGGCUUGCCUCUGGGCCACUGUUGUCUGUAAACACAUGAGCAACUGAAGGACACAGCUAGUUGUGGAUCUUGGGGUAUCUGCCCUUAUGUGGAUGUCUGAUUAUGUGUAGAAGCAUGCAAAUGUCUUUGUGUGUAUGUGUGUGUGCCUCCAGGGACACAGAUGCAGAUAUCUCCAGUGGUCUCAGUGCCAUAGGGGUCUAGUGUCUGUUCCUUGUGUAUUUCUCACUGCAACUGUGAGUAAAAGCAGCAGACCAGUAAACCAGGAGAGCCAAGAUGCAGAGUUCAGGAGAUGCACAGCUGAAGCUGAGAGGGAGCCUGAGAACAGCCCACAGGACAUGAAGAGACAACAAUGCAGCCACACCUGAAAGGAGGCAAAGAGAAGACAGCUCAGGCAGUGGCAGCUGGGGACAAAGGAAAAUGCCAUCUAUUCCCUGCAAAGGAGGUAUCCUCACCCUGCAGGUUUCUUUCAGUGCCAAAAGAUAAACCAACAAGAGUAAUGAUAGAGUCCUCCAGUGCAGGGGACAAAUUGAGUUCAGUGUUAUUCAAGUUUUCUGAUUCCACCUGAUUUGAGGGUUCUAGGGUGAAUAGAAUCCUGUUCUUGGGGCUAAACUCCAGAUAAUGAAUGUCUAACUUGCACCUAGCCUUACAUCCCUGAACUGACAGCGCCUUAUGCUUUGAUUUGUUAAGUGUUUUAAUGUACUGGUCAAUAUUUGUAACCAUAUAUGUGCUGCAUUCUGUAAACAAUGGGAUGAUAAGCUGUAAUACCCUUGGGAUGGCAGAUAGGCUACUCGACUUUUGCCCUCAUCAGAUGUAUGUGACCUGAUGGCUACUAAUACCUUGUUGGACGGAACAGAUUUGCAGCAGUGACCAACUGAUUGGCUUCUUGGAUGUGCAGCAGUUGCAAGCUCUGCAGCUCACCUGCCUUGGAAGGUAGCCAUAGCCGUUGACCACACUGGACUUGAUGAUCAAACUGUACUUGGAUCAUUUUGAGAUUUUACCCCAGGAGCAAUAUAAUGAAAUUCACUGAGAGUUGGGGGGUAUUAUAUGUCAUGUCUUAUACAGUCUUGUUGUAACUUGCAUUGAUUUAAUGGCAUUUGAACGUACUGUUCCAUACCCUAUGUGUAUUCCUCAGCUUGCUCUUGGAUCUCUCUGGAACAGGAGGCACCUAUAGAUUGUAUGGCAAUGAUAAUUAAAGUGGAAGAGUGUUAAGAUGAACUUGGGAAGAAAUUCCCACACUUUUAUGCCCUUGUGGUCUUAUCUGUGGGCCUUAAUGGCAAUCCAUGUCCUGGUAACCAUCAGGGCAUCUGCUUGACUAGCUGCCCGGAACUCUGUUACAUAAGGGCUUCCCUUCAGGUCACUAUUGUCUGUUAACCCAUAAGCACCUGGUGGUUGGGGGUAGGUGAAGCUGUUAUCAAAAACUGCUGAGACUUCUACAGCACUACAUACAAUAGAUUUCAGUAAACCUACUUGUUAACCACUAACGUGUGUCUCAAAUUUUCAUUAGUGUGAUUUUAAGUCUUUUGUCACCUGCAGCCCUCCUCACUACAACAUUUACAAUCCAAGAAAGCAUUAAAAAUAUUUGUAAAUAUGUUUCUGACAAAGCAAACUAAUUAAAAUUUCAGAGAUUCUGCUUUAAAAAAAAAAGCCUGACAGAUUCUUGAAACCUUGUAGAUCAAACAUGACAGAAAAGUAACCACAUAGAGAUUGAAACUUGUCAUUUGUAGGUUUCUGUGUCUGUUACUGACAACAUCCUUGCUUCUCUCCUUAAAUGUUUUGUCAAGCCCCAAAGACUUUCCUGUGAUCUGUAGUUUAUAGCACUCUGGUGGACUGUGUAUUUAUAAACAAAAGCCAAAACAUUUACCUUUCCUUCCUACUGAAUUCCUCCAGAUUUCAGAAACUGCUAAUGGGAAUUUUUGGUUUUACGACAAUGUAAUUGGUUUCAAAACAUUGUUCAAACAAUUUCUUUAGCUCAUAACAAAGUAGUAAUUAAAACACUUAUGUGUCUAAAAAUAUCCACAGAAUAACUGACUUCCAGGGCUCUCAGCCUUUCAGUGAGUACACACAAUGAGCACUUGUUAGUAGUAGUUUUAAACUUCAAAAAGUUGGUACUAUAGCUUUAAAAAAAUAUAAGCCUUCCUUGGUUAGUCUUCCUGAAUGGAAACAUUUUCUAAAUUUGGAUUAAAAUGAGAGAAACCAAAUUUUCAUACUCACCUUGGACCAUCAACUAUAAUGUGAAUACAGUUAGAUUGCUUAUGAUUUUUUAGGUACAAACUUGAUUUGCUAUUGAUGAUUUGUUAUGUGCUCUUCCUUUGGAGUUUCAUGCCCACCACCUAUGAGCUUUGUACAAAAGUCCAAUUCCCAGCCAGAUAAUGAUGGCAUGAUUCUGACAUGAUUGCUCUUGUGUACAGAACUGAUUAUGUUAAUUUUUAGGAAUAGACUUCAAGUAAAAUUAAUUUGUGGACCCUGUCCAUAAACCUCUAGGUUACUCAUAUAUGUGGCUGAAGGGGUUUAUAACACUGACUCUUGGUUUGCAACCAUGUCUACUACACCAGGGAACCAAAUCAGAGCAACAACCAGGAAUGAGUCCACUGUAACCAGAAGAUCAUAAAGAACAUGGCUAAGGAUGAAAGAUCAGCAAUGUUUUUGCUUUUGUUUUUCUGGUUUUGUUGUUGUUUUUGUUGGUGGUGGUGGUUUUUAAAAAAAUGGCAACAAAAACCAGAUGACAAGGGGGUGAGCCUAUGAAAGUUUAAGAGUCUGUGAUCUGGGGUUGGCACUACAGCACAGUGGGUUAAAGCCCUGGCCUGAAGUGCCGGCAUCCCAUGUGGGUGCCGGUUUGAGUCCCAGCUGCUCCAAUUCUGAUCUAAUGCACCUUGGAAAGCAGCAGAAAAUGGCCCAAUUCCUUGGGCCCCUGCACGCACGUGGGAGACCCAGAGGAAGUUCCUGGCUCCUGGUUUCCAAUCAGCACAGCUCUGGCUGUUGCAGCCCUUUGGGGAGUGAACCAGCAGGUGGAAGACCUCUCUCUCUGGCUCUACCUCUCUAUCUGUAGCUCUGUCUUUCAAAUAAAUAAAACAAAUUUUUUUAAAAAAAUCUCUUUUAAAAAAAGAGUCUGUGGUCCAACCUUAAAUUAAGAUAUACAAAUCCAAAAGGUUCUUUAAAAUGUGUUCUUAUGUAUGAUUAUCUGAUAGGAACUAUGACAAAGGACUCUGCCAGGACUGCAGCCUCUACAGAGGUCUACCUGUUGAAAAGAUGGACUCAGAGUUAGAAAGGUGCCAGGGGAUUCCAACACAAUCCCAUCAAAGUGGCAUGUACCAAUACCAUCUCACUAGUCCAAGUGAUCAAUUUCAUUUCACAAUUUAUCACACUGAUAGGUCUAAGAGUCAAAGGGAUCACACAAACAAGACUAGUGUCUGCUAAUACUAACUGAUGGAAUCAAAAAGGAAGAGAACGAUCCAACAUGGGAAGCGAGAUACACAGCAGACUCAUAGAAUGGCAGAUGUCCUAAAUAGCACUCUGGCCUCAGAAUCAGCCCUUAAGGCAUUCAGAUCUGGCUGAAGAGCCCAUGAGAGUAUUUUAGGCAUGGGAAGCCAAGACACCCUGGAAAAAAAAGACCUAAAUGGAAGAUCUCUGCGUGUGAGAUCCCAGUGGAAAGAACAGGGCCAUCAAAGAAGGAGGUACCUUUCUCUGAAGGGAGGAGAGAACUUCCACUUUGACUAUGACCCUGUCGGAAUAAGAUCUAAGUCGGUGAACUCAGAAGGCUUCCAUAGCCUUGGCAGCUCAAAACUAGAGCCUAGGGAGAUUACUGACACCAUAAACAAGAGUGUCAAAUUGUUAAGUCAACAACAGGAGUCACUGUGUACUUACUUCUCAUGGGGGAUCUGUCCUUAAUGUGUUGUCCAAUGUGAAGUAAUGCUAUAACUAGUACUGAAACCAUAUUUUACGCUUUGUGUUUCUGUGUGGGUGCAAACUGAUGAAAUCUUUACUUAAUAUAUACUAAAUCAAUCUUCUGUAUAUAAAGAGAAUUGAAAAUGAGUCUUGAUGUGACUGGAAUGGGAGAGGGAGCGGGAGAUGGGAGGGGUGCGUGUGGGAGGGAAAUUAUGGGGGGGGCAUUGUAAUCCUGUACUGUACUUUGGAAAUUUAUAUUUACUAAAUGAAAGUUAAAAAAAAUGGACUUGGAAAGGUGAAGUUUUUAUGGAAGUUUUUAGAGCCUGAGAACAGCCUACACCAUGUGGAUAGACAACGAUGCAGCCAUAUCCAACAGGAGGUAAAGAGAAGAUAGCUCAGCCAGUGGAAGCUGGGGACAAAAGAAAAUGCCAAACAUGCCUUCCAUCCUCCCCUGGAAGGGAUGGCAGAUAGACGACUGUACUUUUGCCCACAUAAGAUGCGUACAACUUGAUGUCUACAAAUCCCCUUGUGGACUGAACAGCUUUGCAAAUGUGACCAACCUAUGGGCUUGAAUGUGCAGCGAGUUGCCUGCCAGCCCUGCAUCUCAGCUACCUCAGAAGGUAGCCACAGCCACUGACUAUACUACAAUGGACUUGGUUAACAAACUUCCCUUGGACUCAUCUAGAGACUUUAGUUCGGGUGCAAUAUAAUGAAAGUCAAUAUUGGUUGGGGGUAUUUUGUGUUGUAUCUUAUGCUUAUGCUUUCUCAUCAUAACUUGCAUUGUUGUUAUGGUUGUAAUGUUCUACACCCGUUGUGUACUCCUGGCCCCACACUGAGAUCUCUUCAGAGGAGGAAUCAAGCCUAGAUUAUAUGGCAAGAAUACUUGAAGUGGUAGAGUGUUGAGAAGAUGAACUUGGGAAGAUGAAGGUUUCAAGUUCCCACACCUUUAUGCCCCUGCACCAUUUUCUAUGGACGUCAAUGACAAUCAAUGUCCUGGUAACCAAAAUGCCCACCUGCUUGGGUAGCUGCCCACAAACCUGUUACAUAAGGGCUAAUAUUGUCUGUAAAUCCACUAUGCAACAGGGUGGUACACCUAAGCAUGUGGAUGGUUUUAUUGGUAGACGUGGUUGUAUGUGAAUAUAUGGGUUUUGUUUCUGUCUCAGGAUAUAUAUAGAUAUAUCUUGUUUAUUUCUCAGUUCCAGUCUGAUUUAAAGAGAUAUAAACUCAUAAACAACUACAAGUUGUUAUCUGGCGUGUUCAAGUUCCAUCUCAGCCCCAGACUCAGAUACUGGUUUCAGCUUCCUGAUAACAUGCAGCUUGUGAGGUAGCAAGUAGUUGAAUGCCUGCUGCUCACAUGAGUGAUCUGGAUUGGUUUCCCAGCACUUGGAAGCUGCCUUGGUCAUUGCAGGCAUUUGGGGAGUACAUGAAAUGAUGUAGCUAACUCUGUCCACUCUUAAAUAGUAAGUAAAUAAAUUACUAAUGAAAAAAUUCAGCAUUAUUGUCUGUUAAUCAUUAUACAACAAACUGAUUACUGAUGAAAAAUUCAAUAGAAAUUAUUUAAGGCAGUGUUUUUUUAAUGCAUUUAUUUAUUUAUUUGAAAGGCAGAGUGACAGAGGGAGAGACCAAGAGAUCCUUUGUCCACUGGCUCAUCCCCCCAUAUACCUACAACUGGAUGGGUCAUGGUAAAGUCAGGAACCAGACAUUCCAUCCUGGUUUCCGGUAUGCAUGGCAGGAACCCAACUAAAUGUGCUAUCACUACCUUCCCAGGUGCAUUAGCAGGGAUUUGGGUCAGAAGUGGGGCAGACAGGACUCACACUGGCACUCUGAUAUGCUGACAUUACUACACUGCAACUCUGACUUCACAACAGAAAUUUCAAAAAUACAUUCAUUAUGGCACAGCAAGAUAAGCUUCCACUUGCAACACAGACAUCCCAUAUCAGAGAGCUAGUUAAGGUGCAGUCUGGUGCACUUCCAAUCCAGCUUGCUGCUAUGUACCUGGGAAGGCAACAGAAGAUGGCUCAAGUGCUUGAGCUCCUGCCACUCAUGUGGGAGUCUCAGAUGGAGUUUCAGGCUCUUGGCUUUGGCCUACACCAGGCUGACUAGUGGGACCAUUUAGUGAGUAAAUCAGUGAAUGGAAGAUCUCUCUCUCUCUGUCUCCUUCUUUCUUUCAUUCUGCUUUUCAAACGAAUAAAUAAAAGUUUUAAAAAUACACAUAUACACGCACAUACAUACAUACAUAAACCUUUAAAAAAAUCACUUCAUUGAUGUAUGAUAUAAAAAUAGGGUGCAUAUUUCGUAUAGUUAUCUUGCAGUGUUUUGUGAUAAAUAUACACCUGUGACAUUGCUACCACAUUCAAGGCCAUAAUCAUAUCCAUCAUAUUUUGAAGUUUCCUCCCACUCUCUUCACAAUUUUCAUUAGUGUUUUGUUGUUUUUUUGUAAGAAUAUAUAAGCUUGACUCUCUUAGCAACUUUAGUUGUUUAAACAUUAUUGCUAUAGUUUGGAUAUUGGUUUGUGUGUCUCCCAGAGGGCAAUGUGUUAAAGCUUGGUCCCUAAAGCCCUUAGGUUAAUGGUCACUGAAUUGAUAUUCAUGGCUACUAGAUUAUCAGAUUUGAACCUGCUAUGGUGUUUAGAAGGUGGGUCUCAUGGUAUUUAGCAAGUGGGCCUAGUGGAAAAUGGUUAUAUCUUUGGAGGCAUGCUCUGCAAAAGUACUUCUCAUGAGAGGAUUGGUUGAAUAAACCUGAGUCUAGCCUAGGCACUCUUUCACUGUGUCCUGGAUUAACAUUUGAUAGUUCUCGUAUAUUCUGCCAUCUUCCAGCAUCCCAAGAUCGUUGAACCAAUGGGGCCUGCCCAAAUGUGAACUGUGAAUCUCUGAAAUCAUGAGCCCAACCAAAUAAACCUCCUUGCUUCAUAAGUAGCUUCUAUUAGGUAGUUUGUUAUAGUAAUGAAAGGAUGGUUAUCACAGUGUUUCAGUUGUAAGCACUAUGUUAUAUAGUAGAUCAUCAAUAUCAUUAGCUAUUUGUUUUGUUUGGAUAUUAAUCUCUUAUCAGACAUAUAAUUACAAAUAUUUUCUCGCAUUCUGUAAGUUGUCUUUUCAUUACACUGAUGGGCUUCUUUGAUCUGCAGAUUCUUUUUAGUUUGAUGUAAUGCCACUUGCUUAGUUGUGCUUUUGUUGUCCCAUCCAAAUACUACUGCCAAGACCAAUGUCAAGGUACAUUUCUCCUAUGUUUUCUUCUAGGAGUUUAUUAUUUUGGGACCCUUGAUAAACUCUUGAAUCCAUUCAUGUUGAUUUUUUUGUGUGUGAUGGAAGGCAAAGUACAUUUUUUCUUUUGCAAAUGAAUACCCAGUUUUCCCAAUAUCAUUCAUGGAAUGGAUUAUCCUUUAUCUAUUGUGUAUUCCUGGUGUCCGUUUCUAAAAUCAGUGUGUCUGUUUAUUUCUGAGAUUUUUAUUCUGUUCCAUUGCUCCAUAUGUCUACUUUUAUGGAUGUACUUUGUGGUCUUGUUUAUUAUAGUUUUGUAAUAUAAUUUGAAAUCAGUUAUUGUAAGGCCUCCAGCUUUGUUCCUCCAGUAGACUGCCUUGGCUGUUUGGUAUCUUUUGUUGCUCCAUAUGUAUUUCAGGAUUUUUGCUCUCCUUGUGAAAAAUAUCAUUGUUUUUUGAUAAGCAUUGCAUAAAUCUGAAGAUUAUUUUGAGUAGUAUGCACAUUUUGACUAUAUUGAUUCAUCCAGUUAGUGAACAUGGGAUAUCUUUUCAUUUUUUGUUAGAUACAAUUAAUUUAAUUUUAUUUUAUUUAACUUUAAUUUCUUUCAUUAGUGUUUUAGUUUUCAACAUACAUGUCUUUUAAUUCAUUGGCUAAAAUUACACUUAAGUAUUUUGCUCUUCUUUGCAAAGAGAUUUAUUUAUUCAUUUGAGAGGCAGAGCAACAGAGUGAGAGGUAGACACACACACACACACACACACACAGAGUGAGAGAGAGAGAGAGAGAGAGAGAGAGAGAAUCUUUCAUAUGCCAGUUCACUACCAAAUGGCUGCAACAGACAGGGAUAGUCAGGCUGAUACCAGGAUCCAGGAACUCCAUCCUGGUCUCACACAUUGGUGGCAGGGGCCCAAGUCCUUGGCCCAUCAUCUGCUGCCUUCCAGUCACAUUAACAGGAGACUAGAUUAGAGGGAAAGCCGAAAGUGGCAUUGGAGCACCAUGGGCUAAGCUGCAGCUUUAAAUACUAGCAUUCCAUGUGGCUGCAGGUUCAAAUCCCAGCUGUUCCACUUCCAAUCUAGCUCCCUACCGAUGCACCUGGGAAAGCAAUGGAAGAUGGUCCAAGUUCUUUGGCCCCUACACCCAUGGAGGAGAGCCAGAAUGAGCUCCUGGCUCCUGGUUUCAAUCUGGUCCAGCCCUCACCUUUGCAGGCAUUUGGGAAAUGAACCAGCAAAUGGAAGAUCUCUCUCUUUCUGUCUCUCUGUCUCUCUCUCCCUCUAUCUGUCUGAAACUCUGCAUUUCAACUAAAUAAAAUAAUUUUUAAAAAAAGAAGCAGAACACCUAGGACUCCAUUCAGGAACUUCUGUAUGUGAUGUUGGCAUUGCAAGUGGUGGCUUUACCUGCUAUGCCACAGCAUCAACUCCUACAUUAUUCUUUUGUAUGCCAUUGUAAAUGUUAUUAUUUUCUUAACUUAUUUUUCAGUUUGUUAUUAAUGUAUAAAAAUAUAAAUGACUUUUCAGUGUUGAUUUUGUAUCCUACAGCUAUACUGAACUUGUUUAUAAGUUCUAAUAUAUUUUCAGUGUCCUUAAGAUUUUCUAUACAUGAGAUUGUGAUAUUAGAACACAGAGGCAAUUUUAUUGUACAUAUGGAAAAGAAGUUAUUUGAGCUAUAUCAGGAAAAUAUAAAGCUACCAAGAUGCAGAAAGGAUAAACAGUUGGACAGGCAUGCCAAAUAUUGUAAGAUUAUCAAUUUUCUCAGAAUUAGUCUAUUAAUGGAAUAUAGUCCCAAUUAACCCCAGGCUUAUUGCAGCUCAGUUCACAAUAGCUAAGAUAUGGAAUCAACCCAAAUGUCUAUCAGCUGAAUUCUAGAUAAAGAAAUUAUGGGAUAUGUACACCACGGGACACUACACAGCAAUAAAAAAAUGAAAUCCUGUUGUUUGCAGCAGACUAAUGAAACUGAAAAACAUUAUACGUAGUGAAAUAAGCCAGUCCCAAAAGGACAAAUACUAUAAAGUUCUCACUGAUCUAUAGUAACUAAUAGAGCUCCUAAAAGGUAAAAAAAAAAAAAAAUCCCAAUAAGUUACACUUUAUUCAAAAUGUUUAAAUAUCCUAAUUAUGCUUUAAAAUUUCAAAACAUAAAUUCAUGAACACAGUAGAAUAGAAAUUCAGGUAUAUUAGGGAUUAUUAAAAGGGGAAAAGUACUGAUUCAUAACCACCUCUAUCAAAUGCUUGAUAUCACUUAGAGUGACAGAAGUUACAACAGUAAGUUGCCAGCACAGGCAAGGACAAGCGAGUCAAAUCAUUUGCUGAAUAAUUUGUUAUGAGUAUGCAGGAAUUGCUUCCCCAAAGUUCAUGCAGCUAUUUACACAGUGAUGUCUUAAUGGUGAUGGAUUAGGGGUAGAGAUUGAUCUAAUUGUGGUGGGUGGGAGGUAGUGCUAAUGGGAGCUCUUUGGGUUGUUGGGGGAGUCUCCUUCGAGGGUGGGUCUCAAGAAAGUUUUGAUCAUUUGAGUUCAGGUUCUGCAUAACUGUUGUGUCUCCCCUUUCAUUGUGGUCAUGCUUCCACACCCAUGAGCAACCUCCAUUCAUGAUGAACUGCGGGACAACUGGAUCCUGUUACCUCCAGCUGUGAGCUGAAAGAAACCUUUUCUUUCCCAAAGAAGCUCCUCACAGCUUCAGAGGCCAGUAGCAGGAUUUGUGUCUCAGUAGACUGCAAUAUGUUAUAGAUUUGGGAUGAGUUGACCCUAUGCAGACUAUUGACUUAUCCAUGCUCAUCAGUGGAGGAGGUGUGACCAUCCAGCCACAUAAAAGGGAUUAUGGUGUCCAACAGAUAGAGGAGGCAGAAUUAGUGGAACAAAGACAGAAAGAAAGGUCUUUCUUCUGUUGGGUCACCCCCCAAAAGGCCACCACGGCUGGUGCACUGUGCCAAUCCGAAGCCAGGAGCCAGGUGCUUCCUCCUGGUCUCCCAUGCGGGUGCAGGGCCCAAACACUUGGGCCAUCCUCCACUGCCUUCCCAGGCCACAGCAGAGCUGGACUGGAAGAGGAGCAACUGGGACAGAAUCGACGCCCCAACCAGGACUACAACCCGGGGUGCCGGUGCCACAGGCAGAGGAUUAGCCUUGUGAGCCACAGUGCUAGCCAAUGACUCAUUAAGUUUUGCAUUUAUGUUUUGUUGUUUCUUUGCUGGAGUUUAGGCUCCUCUAAAGACAGGUAUUUUGAUUCAUUCCUUUAUUUUCAGUAUUGCAAAUAUUGUCUCAUGAAGUCACUCAGAAAGGAGCAAUCCAAAUCCCAUCCCAAUUGCAGUAAAGAAGUUUUAUAUUUGUUGAAUCAACCAGAAGUUCAUAAGAAAAUAACUUUUUGUACUGUUUCUGCUAUAUAGCUGUAUAGGUAACUUCCUGUCCACUAGAGGGAAGCAUAUAUUUAUGGGAAAACUAGAUUCCUUUGAAAAAGUGAACCUAUUGGUAAAUACUUUCCAAAUGAAAUAAUUUGAAAAGAGAAAACCAAAUACAAGACUAAGCCUCAUUUGUCUACCCAAGCUAUAUAAAGAAAUAUACAGACUCUGGACAUCAUGCAGGGCGCUAACAACCUUAAGGCAAAAGUUAAUAUUGAAGUACAGAUGGCUUCAGAACUAGCCAUUGCUGCAAUCGAGAAGAACGGUGGUGUUGUCACUACAGCCUUCUAUGACCCGAGAAGUCUGGAAAUUCCGUGCAUACCUGUUCCAUUUUUUCUGUGUGGACAGCCCAUCCCAAAGCAGAUGCUUACACGUACAGCACUGGUGCCUUAUUACACUGAUGCCAAAAACCACGGUUACCCGGCAGAUCGUGCCAAAUUUCCUGAAGCAAGACUUGAACUCACCAGGAAGUAUGGCUAUGUGUUACCUGAUAUCAUUAAAGAUGAACUCUUCAAAAUGCUAGUACACUAAAGGAUCCAAGGCAGAAUCCUCUUUGGUCUUGCCCGAGGAUGAGUAGUAAAUAUGGCAGAUAAGAAAAUCCUGAAACCUGCAGAUGAAAAUCUCUUCAAAUACUAUAGUUCAUUAAUUCCCUUUCAAGAAAGCAGAGCAUGGAAAUAAUACAAGAAAAGAAACCAGACCAUACAGAUUUCUCAUUGUAUUUUCCUAAUAUAUAAUUCUCCAGAUGUCAAUGUCAGUUUUCAGUGCAAUCAUCUUUUUUUCAUUUUCAUCUAAAAUUCAAAUAAACCUGCAGGCAGCAAGGACUGCAUGGAGGAACUGAGUCUAUGUCUCAAAGGCAUGCUCAGUUGAAGGAAGAUUGUAACCAUUUUAAACCAUAGGACAGUAUGACCUUUCUCCUACAGGCCUCCUCUUGUUCUUAUUGCAAGUCAGAAUGCAGCCUCAGUAGAAUGGGGCUGAUCUGUAGGCUCAGCUGGGAUUGGAGCAGAUGCCCAUGAACUGAUCAGUGGUAGCCCUGGGGUAGCUCUGCUGCCCAGUAGCAAGGUAGCAAACCCUCAGCCUCUGAGUUCAGGAAUGUGACAAGAAGAUUUCAGACUGAAUAGUUUCUAAGUCGUACAUUUGCAAGCUAGAUGGGAGUUAAGAAAAACAAAUUCCAAGUGAAUUUAUUUUAUCUCCUUGGUUAGACAAUAAUGAUCAAGCUGCUAACAUUUUUUCCUUGAAGAAAGUGUUAUGAUUCAAACUGAUAUAUGUUUACUUACAUUUUGUAGACCUUUGUACUUGUCAUUUCAAAUGAUCUAGGAAAAAUUGUUCAGUGAUUAUGUAAGCCACAAGAACAAUCAGUAAUGUGAAAAUUAAACAUAGCUAAUGUAGAAGAUUCAGCAAUUAUUAACCAUAAUUAAAGAUUGAUCUCAAAUAAUUCAUGUUAAUUCUACCACAGUAGAAAUAAAAUGAUUCCUGGUUGUUUUUUUAACAUGAAAAGUAUAAAAACCUAAACAAGUGUAAAGUGUGAAAACCUAAACAGGUGCUUAGCCUAGCUAUUAAGAUGUCUGCACCCCAUAUAGGAUUACCUGAGUUUGAUAAGCAGCUCCAGCUCCUGAUCCAGUUCCUGCUAAUGCAGACCCUGGGAGGCAGUGGUGAUGGCUCAGGUGUUUGUCCCUGCCCUCUACCUGGUAGAUCUUGCUUGAGUUGUGGCUCCUGGUUGUGGAGCAGCCCAGUCCUGGCCAUUGUUGUUAUUUUGGGAGAGAACCAGUGAAUGGGAGCACUGUGUCUCUCUCUAUGUCCCUCAAAUAAAUAGAAAGCUCGUGUAUCAGUGCAGAAUUCUUUGAGCCUAAGUCUACCAUUCUGGAGUGCUACCUUCAAAAGUUACAUAGUAGUCAGUAGGUUGAUUAGUUAUCAGUGGUGGCAUGCAAAAUGUUUUCAUAGCAGCAUGGUGACAGAGCACUGGAAACUGAUAGAAUCUUGGCUAGGCAGACAUUUACAAAGAGGCCCCUGCCCCACUACCUGGAGUUGAAUCUUGGAGGACCUGAGAAAAGUCCAGGAGUUGGCUUCUGUGAAGGAUGUUACUGUCAUGUGCUAGUCCUUAUAAUCAAGAUUUUUCUGUGCUGUUGUAAAUGAUUUAGAUUUCGAAAAUUUUAACUCAUCUUGGAAAGUUCCAUGUGCUUUUUUGUUGUAUCUGUUGAGUCUUGAUUAGAGCUUUUACUCAGCUUUGGGUCUUAUAACCAUAUAGAACUAAGAGCAUGGACAAAGAAGAAUGUACAAAGAAGUUUCUCGAGGGAAAAAAAAAAAAAAGCAGAGAGAGCAAAAGUGAAAGAAACAUCUCCCAGGAGCACCUAGCGGGGAACUGAAGAAGGCACCCACUGAAGACUGAUUGCCAAGACUGAUGGAUUGCUAGAGACUGUAAAGGGGGAAGUUCCUGAUCGGUCUGCGAGAAGGACAGUUUUGAUUGGUUAGCUGAACCCUAACAAUUAGAACUGCAGACUCCUGCAACAAAACCACCUGAAAAGUGGCACUUAGGUUUUCCUUUGCCUGCUUUUUCUAAAUAUUUUAACCAUAAAGGUACCUUGCACUUCCUGUGUUAGGCAUGUAAAAAUUAUACUUGAAUAUAGUUUAUGGAGGAAGAGAAAUGACAGGAUGCAAAGACUUUUGCAAAGAAAAAUGCCAAAGUACAAAGAAAAUAUAGUUUUACUAACUUUGUGCACCAUUAAGUCAGGAGUAGAAUUCAUUUCUUCUUAAACCAUAGCUGAGAAAUGUCCCCCAAAACUUUAUCAGUAUAAUAGGAGUAUGCUUUUUUCACAGUUAUGUAAUGUUGAAAUAUUAAUAUAGCUGAUGUUAUGUAAUGGUUGUAAAAAAUAAAAAGUCCAAAGGAGAUAGACCAUGUUCUGAGCUGAUUUUACAUCAAGAAUAUUUUUAAAACUUUUUUCUGGUGGCUUUCUAUUGGCAUGUUUAAACUGUGCUCCCUAUUCCUAAGCCAUUUGAAAUAAUAUCUAUUAGAUAAGUCACUUCACCUUUCUUAAACUGUAUAGAGUGUCAGUCUUUGCCACCUACAAGGCUUAUGUAAGAUUACUUCUGAAGUCCCUUCCAGUCAGUGAUAAUGCUUUGAUGUUAAAGAUGUUUUCUUAGGCUUAAGAGCACUCUUUGGCCUUAACCUGUGUUCACAAAAAUGAGCUCCUGUUCUUGGGGCUGGCAUUGUAGUGUAGCAGGUAAAGCCACCAACUGUGACACCAGAUCCAAUAUGGGUGCCAGUUUGAGUCCUGCUCCAUUUGUGAUCCAGUUCCCUGCUGAUCACCUGGGAAAAGCAGCAGAAGAUGGCCCAAAUGUUUAGGCCCAUGUCACACAUGUGCGAGACCCCGAUGAGGCUCCUGAACACCCUGCUUGUUACUGCACUGCCUUAUUUAUGCUCCCCUUUUUGAUUCAGUACUUUUGGAGAAGCUGGUACUGCCUCUAUAGCAAAAUUCUUCAUGGGAAGUGGGAGAGAAGUUAGCUACCUAAGGGAGACUGAACAGGCAACAGUGUACUUUUGAGGGCCCCUGUGCUCCUCUCUGACUCCUGCAAGUAAAAUGACAACACUCAUGGAAGGAAAAAGAGUUAAACACAAGACUUGCUUGCUUGUGGUUGUCUUAGGUAGCCUCCAGGUGAAAGGAAAUUGGGAGAGAAUGAUAAAGGGAAGGAGGAAAACAGGAAACAGAUGUGCAGUGGUGUGUCUUGCUCAGACAGUACUUACUCAGGGAGCCUGAGCUUAGUCAUCAACAGCUGUAUCCUGGUCUUCAUAUUGAAAUCAUGUGGCUCACUGUGGCUCACUGUUGGCCAAAACAGGCAAGGUCCACAAAACCCAUCCAUUCUGUUUAAUUAAGGUAAUCCUUAAAUAACUGGAGAGCAGGAGACACGUUUAUUUUAACUGUGUGACCAUCUGGACUGUAAACUGCUGGUAUCCCAUUAUCAUUAACUAGGGUUGUAUGGAAAGAGCAUAUGGUAGACGGUAGCUUUAUAUUAAAAAAAAAAAAAAAAAAAAAAAAAACCUCUAUAUAUUUGAAAGGCAGAGAGACAGCAUUCUCCAUCCACUGGUUCACUUCCAAAUACAUACAACAGUUAAGGCUUGUCUGGGUUGGGGCUGAAGCCAGGAGCACAGAACUCCAUUGAGGUUUCCCAUGUGUGUAACAGGGAUCCUUGCAGUUUAGCCAUCACCUGCUGCCUCCCAGUGUGAUCAGUACUGUGAUCAGGAAACAAAUCAGAAGUAUAAGCCAGGACUUGAACUCAGGCACUCCAAUAUGCCAUUCAGGCAUCCCAAGCAAUGGCUUAACUGCUGUGCCAAAUGGUUACACCCCAGUAGCUUUAUCCUAUGAGGACUUCAUAUCACUUGGAAAUCUAAGUAUAAAUGUAAGAGGUCUUCAGUCUACGUCUUAGUCCUUUCCUGGUAUGUGGCAUCAGCUGUUCUUAGUUUACAUAGCUAGUUUAUUUCUUUUUUUUUUUUUUUUUACAGGCAGAGUGGACAGUGAGAGAGAGAGAGACAGAGAGAAAGGUCUUCCUUUGCCGUUGGUUCACUCUCCAAUGGCCGCCGCGGCCGGCGCGCUGCGGCCGGCGCACCGCGCUGAUCCGAUGGCAGGAGCCAGGAGCCAGGUGCUUAUCCUGGUCUCCCAUGGGGUGCAGGGCCCAAGCACCUGGGCCAUCCUCCACUGCACUCCCUGGCCACAGCAGAGGGCUGGCCUGGAAGAGGGGCAACCGGGACAGAAUCCGGUGCCCCGACCGGGACUAGAACCCAGUGUGCCGGCGCCGCUAGGCGGAGGAUUAGCCUAGUGAGCCGCGGCGCCGGCCAGCUAGUUUAUUUCUAAGAACAAAACCAAUUGAGUUUAAUAUGUGUAUUAAAAGAUUUCACUCUGUUGUGGAACAAUUACUAUGGAUUUCCUGCUUUUUGUGUUCCUGGUUUUUCUUCUUUUUUUAGUUAUUUAUUUUUUAAAGGUUUAUUUUGUUUGGUUUUCUUUUUAGCUUGAAAGAGUUACAGAGAGAGAGAGAGAGAGAUCUUCCAACUGCUGGUUCACUCCCCAGGUGGCUGCAAUGGCCAGUGUUGGGCAAGCUGAAGCCAGGAGCCAAGUGCUUCUUCUGGGUCUCCCACAUGGGUGGUGGAGCCCAAACACUUGGGCCAUCUUCUGCUGCUUUUCCCAGGCCAUCAGCAGGGAGCUGGGGCAGAAGUGGAGCAUUUGCAACUUGAACUUUGAUGCCACAAUGCCAGCCCCGAAUGUCCCCCCCCCCCCAAUUUUUUUAAGUGUAAUGUUACUCUCUAUUCUUUGGGAAAAUAGAGUGGUUCAGCAAUAUCAGGGAAACAUCAGAAAACAGUGGUUUAACCCACUUUGGUUUGCAUCAGAGAAUAAAGUGUGCUUUCUGAUACUAAUACAAGUCCCAGAACAGCUGUGUCUUCAAAGGCUUUGCUGGCAGAAUGUUAGCACAGUGGAACUUGCCUGCUCUUUUUUCAUGAUACAUAUUAUCUGUGAACUUUUUGAUGAUCUCUUGUAUGUAUGGAUUUCAAAAUGCUUAUGCACUAAAAUCAACAUCUCUUUAAUCUGUUUCCCAUGAACUUGUUGAUGUGCGCUCAUAUGUCCUUAUAGCUUUGGCAUUGAGUCUGCCUUUCCCUUCUACUACCUGACCAUCCCCUUGUUGACCUUCUGGCAAAUGCUUUCCAUGGUAGCCCCCUCCUAUUAGAACAGCAAUUCCUCCCUCCUCCUCCAAGAGGCUCUCUUUGGCCUGUGUCUCCAAUAAAACCCACACCCUCUUCUUCUAAAAAGUCAGGUUUAUAAAGUAAUUUACCUCCAUUAAAGAUGUUCUGGGGUACAACUGAUUUGUAACAAAUGUCUAUAGUUAUGUAAGCACAAUCACAUUAAGACAGGAUGUUUCUGUCACCUUCAACGUUUAUGUCUAGUCCAUCUGCAGUCAAUUUCUUCCCCCAGGGCCCAGUACCUGGUAACCACUAAUCUGAUUUCUGUCCCUGUAGCUUUUGUCAUUUCCAGAAUUUUCUAUAGAUUGAGCCUGGCUUCCUUCAACUUCGCAUAAUUAAUUUCAGAUAACCACAUCCAUGUUGUUGCUUCUGCAUGUUGUUUGUUCAUUUUUAUUGAUGAAUCCUGUUCCCUUGUAGAGAUGUACUACAGUUUGGUCACCUAUGUACAUUCAGUACUUGUGAUUAUUAAUAAAAUCUACAAUUAUAAGUUGUUUUGGAUUUAUCCAUGUCGAUAUGAGUUUAAUGUAUUCCUUUUUAUUGAGCAUGUGUUCAGUUAAACACUUUAACAAUUAUUUAGUUGAAAGCAGAGUGACAUAGAGAGAGGGAGAAACAGAGACAGAGACAGAAGCCUUCCAUCCACUGGUUCACUCCCCAAAUGGUCACCAUGGCCCAGGAUGGAUCAUGCCAAAGCCAGGAGCCUAGAUCUCCAUCCAGGUCUCCCACAUGAGUAGCAGGGCCGCAACCACUCAGACCAUUUGCCUUCUCAGGCAUGUUAGCAGGCAGCUGUGUUGGAAGAGCAGCAGCUGGAACUGAACCUAUGCUCUGAUAAGGGAUCCUAGCAUUGCAGGCAGCAGCUUAACCCAUGAAACCACAAUGUUGUCCCAUUAAACACAUUAUGUAUUCAUCCUUCUGUUGAUGGACAUUAGCAAUAUUUACAAUUUUUGUUCACUAGAGGGCAAUGGCUAUGAACAUUUGUGUACCAGUCUUCGUUUGUAUGGUUGCAUGCUUUCCUUUUGUGUGGAUAAAUUCUUGGGACUGGAAUAUCUGGAUUGUAAUCCAACUGCUUUCUAAAGUGAUUGUGCUAAUUUACAUUCCCAACAACAUGUGAGAGGUCCAGUUCUGCCUCACUGUUACUACUGCCAAAUGGGCUUUCUAUUUCAGCUAUUGUAAUAGGUGUGCAAGGUCAUCCCAUUGUAGUUUUAAUUUACAUGUCCCCUUAACAUCCAGAAUAUAUGAAGAGCUCAAGAAACUCAACAACAACAAAACUAAAAAUCCAGGUAAGAAAUGAGCAAAGGACCUGAACAGGCAUUUUUCAAAGGAAAUACAAAUGGCCAACAGACACAUGAAAAAAUGCUCAGGAACAUUAACCAUCAGAGAAAUGCAAACAAAAACCACAGUGAGGUUUCACCUCACCCUGGUUAGAAUGGCUAUCAUCCACAAAUCAAAAAAUAAUAAAUGCUGGUGAGGAUGGUGGUGGGAAUGUACCCUAAUGUACUGGAAAUAUAAACCAGUACAACCAUUAUGGAGGACAGUAUGGAGAGUCCUCAGAAUCUGAAAAAAUAGAUCUACCUUAUGACACAGCCAUCACACUCCUGGGAACUUACCCAAAUGGAAUGAAUUCAUCAUAUGAAAGAGGUAUUUGUAUUGUCGCUCAAUAUACAAUAGCUAAGAUAUGGAAUCAAGCCAGAUGUCCUUCAACUGAUGACUAAAUAAAGAAAAUAUGGUAUAUAUACACUUUGAAAUACUACGCAUCUAUAAAAUAGAAUGAAAACCUGUCUUUUGCAACAAAAUGGGUACAACUGAAAACCGUUAUGCUUAGUGAAAUAAACCAGUCCCAAAAAAACAAAUAUCCUAUGUUUUCACUGAUAUAUAGUAGUUAGUAUAGAAUACAAAAAAAUGUAUAGCAGUGAAAUGGACAUCUUGAGAUUUGAUUGUUUUUUUUUAGCCCUUGUUUAUAUUCCUGUGGAAUUGUGGUCUUUCUAUUUCUUUUCUAUUUUUUUUACUUGUUGAAUAUUAUGGUUAGUGGUGCAUUAAGCCUGUGAUUAUAUAGUAGACUGAAAUUAUACUUUUGCAAGUUCAAAAAAAAAAAAAGGAAGGAAGGAAGGAGAGGAGGUUGAAGGAGGGAACUAGGAAGGGAGGAAAGUAUGAUUAUCUUCUUAGAAUCAUACCUAUGAAAUACAUGAUAUCUGUUCUCUUUAUAUUAAUAAAAAUUUUAAAAUUUUACAUGUCUGUAAUGUCUAAUGAUCUUGAUAUUUUUACAUGCUUAUUUGCCCCUUACAUAUCUUGAGUGAAGUAUCUCUUAUUAUUUUUUAAAUAUUUAUUUAUUUAUAUGAGAAGCAGAGUUAUAGAGAAAGGGAGGGAGAGAGAUAUCUUCCAUCCACUGGUUAAUCCCCCAAAUGGCUGGAGCUGGGCCAAUCAGAAGCCAGGAGUUUUUUCUGCAUCUCCCACAUGGGGGUACAAGGGCAUAAGCACUUGGGCCAUCUUCUGCUGCUUUCCCAGGUCAUUAUCAGGAAGCUGGAUCAGAAGUGGAGAAGCUGGGACUUGAAUCUGCACCCAUAUGGGAUGCUGGUGGUGCAGGCAGAGGCUUGGCCUACUGUGCCACAACACCAGCCCCCCCCCCUUUUUU